AGUGACGCCGUCACAUUGGAUGUAUAUUGUAAGUAAUUCUAAACUAUUUUCCUGUUAGUAUGGGUUUAUGUGAUACUGUGUUUAUAUGCUGAAUAUGGAACUGUAAUUGGAAGAUCAAUAAUAUGUUGUUGUUUUUAAGGGCAGUGGGGAAUUUAACUUGACCAUUCCCUUCUUAAAAAAUAUAUAUUUUGGAGAGAGAAGCUAAAUAUAAUUGAACAUCAGCAACAUAGAGACCCCACAGGUGACAUACCCACUCACCCUCCAACAGAGACUACCAUGGGGCGCAAAAAUAGAAAGAACCAGCCGCUGGAGAUCCUGAGACUGUAAGAUAUCAGGCUCUCCCUUCAGCCGCCAAAAUGGUGCCCCACUGCCCGGGGAGCAGAGGAGGCAUCCCACGAGGAGGGAGACAUACUCACCUCCCCUGAACCAGAAGACAACGCACCAGCUCUCCAGGGAGAGCCAGAUGCAGGACACCCACAACCAAAUAGAUGACCUGGCCACACAAGUGUGGAACUCGCCAGGUCAGUGACCACACUGGAGUGCCGCCACAGGCGCAAAAACGUAUGCAUGCGGGGAAUCCCUUCAAACAGUGAGUGACGAAGCCCUGUUACCCUUCACCCAGAGACUGGUGGCCUCGCUGGGCCUAAAAAGACACCAAAGGGAUGGUGGUCUCAGCGUUCAAAGUACGCAAGGCGGCGGCCGCGCCUCCGGGACCGCCGAGAGACGCAAUAGUCAUCAACAGAGAUAUAGCGGUGAGGACCGCCAUCCUCAACAGAUCCAGAGAGCUCAAGACGGUCAGACUAGAGGGCUGCUGUGUGACGAUAUAUAUGGGGACAUUCCCUUCAGAGCGCUAGUGUCGAGGAGACAGCUGGCGCCUGUGGCCAAAAGACUGAGAGAGGCUGAGGACCGCUACCGAUGGGGAUAAGAUGGAUCGCUGAACAUCCAAAGGGGGAAUGAGACAGUUACCUUGUCAUCUGCGGAGGACCCCACGGCAUUCUGGCAGACCAUGAAUAUGCCGAGCAGGGAACCUAAGAACACUGGGACCUGACAUAGAACACGCCAACAGAGAUAAACGGAGAACCAACGGGCAGAACGGUCCAUACCAUGGACUCAACCAUUACUUACCUAACCCCACAUUCAGGCUACACGACCUACAGACUACACACGGCUUACCCGACCAGUGACACAUAUAGCUCCACACUGUGACACACAAGACGGCAAACUAACGAUACUUGGCCCCUCAAACACAUUAUCAGACGCAGGCUCACAUAAUCCUGAUGCUCAACAUUGACAACAUAGGCACAUUGGCACCCACAGAAAAUGGACCACAUGAGACCAAAAACUGAAAGGAGAGAAAACAGAAUCGAACAGGUUGGUUAGCCAAUGAAAUUAAAUAUAAUAUGCAUAGAUCCCAUCCUUAUUUAGAAAAAACAGACAUAAGAACACGUGACAGGUAGCAGAGACAACAAGCAGAGUUGCAUACCUACCUGAUAAACCCAAACUAUUAAAGUUAAACAAGGGAGGGAUAAGAAUGGGAGGGAAAUAUUUUCCUCCUGUCAUUAAUAAAAUUAAGAUUAUAGGUACACUAAAGCUAGCAUAAUCUACAAUUUUAUAACAUGACAGGAGGCUUCAUAUUUGCUGUUUUAACGCUCAGUCAACAAAUCCAACAAUGUUUGUUUCGCUGGUACCUAUUCUGGGGAAAAAAAAACAGAGCAAAACCCAAAUGGGCCUUCCAAUUGCGGGAAGUGACAGCAGAUGGGUCGAUGAAGAUGCCUGCUGACGCUUUACCGCUAAUUACGGAAAACUCAAUCCGCUGGUAGACCGUACAUGGGGAUGUGACUAUCCAUGACCUGUAAAGUCGAUCUAUUAACCAUAUUCCUGCGGAUGCAAAAUUCCAAAGAUCAUUUGCGGACUUAGAACUGCGAGAAAAAACUGCCACCAGGUGUCGACCCUCAUUGUGUAAGAUGGCUCCUCCGAUCGUGUCAGGGUCACCUGAAAAUGUGGUCUUGCCGGCAAACUCCAACCUCCAGUAAGGCACCUGAGACCAUCACCAAUUCCGUCACAGAACGGAAUAGGGUAUUUUCAUUCCCUCCUGAUCUACCAGUCGAGUGAUCUCAUCCAGGGUUGAAACAACUAUGCUGGUAAGAGUGCAGGCCAAACCAGUCGUCUACUAAGUGUUUCCAGUACUCCAAUUGGACUGUGAAACCUGCGACUUUGGUAGGCCAUGUACUCUCAAGGGACGUCCUAUCAGGGUUCCAAACUGAAUUUGUGUAGCAAAAUAGUGUUCGACCCCAGAAAUACCAAAAUGAGGGGCACGUAACCAGUAGUUGAGAAUUCCAUCUAAAUGUAUCCACGUUGAGGAGUGAAAAGGUGGUCCGGAACCAACGGGUAAUUGGGGCCUGCAUAGACGAAGAAGAGUCGACAUGUGCUGUAGUCGUGCGGACUGCAAAGGAGUCAAAAUCGGUUAGAAAAGUAGGCAGUUUGGAGAAAAACUGAAUCGGUCCUGGUGAGUGGGUCUGGAUCAGUAUCUCCAUCCUUGAGACUGUCGACUGAUUAGGGAGAUAGUGAAAUAAUCCGAAUAACUACUUGUACGAUCCCAUUCCAGUUCAGUCCUGCCAAAAGCCUGUGGAGGGACUUAUGGUAUGCACAUCACACCCAAGAUAGGGUCUAAGAAAGGGGGGCAUCAAAGACUCUGUAUCCUUAACUGUGAGGACAUGCUAUCUCCAAGAAUGGAUCAUAGGUCAAGGAACCCAGGUUUUUGCAAUCGAGGCUUGAAGUCUAGGCAUCCCUAUAAAGAAAUAUCUCCCAUCUUCGCCUAGCGACCCGUGAUCUCAUAGUGUUCUCUAAUACGUAGAUAAAAUGAAAAAAUUCCCCUCGUUAGUGACCGCUGACUCCCAAGCAUAGAUAUAGCUUCCACCGUCCAAAGCAGGGGCUGUCCAGGUUGAGAACAUUGAGUAGUCAGAUUCGAACCCGACACUGUUCCUAGUAAGUAUUCCAGUGGGAGGGUGCGUCCCAACCUUGUGACAUCCGUGUGGGAUUCAACGUCAAACAGGGUUCCCCCAUAGAGUCCGAAUAGUCCUCCUUAAGAGUCACUGAAUAGGUGGAUGAGUGCAAAUCAAAACCCAGAACGGCUCUCCUGAGGGAACUAGUGUAAAGAAGGAGGGUCCUCUAUAUCCAAAUCGUGUUCCACGGACCACCACCAGGGAUUACCUCACAGGACAUGACAUAACAGGAUGUUAUAUAUAGUUACAGGGAUCACAUCACAAGACAUGACAUACAGGAUGUGUCGCAAAGUCACAGGGAUUACAUCACAGGACAUGAUAUCACAGGAUGAUAUAUAUAACGUCAGAGAAAUUAUAUCACAAGACAUGUAAUGCUAUCUAACAUCACAGGACAUGACACCACAGGGUGUCAUCUAACAUCACAGCGAUUACAUCACAGGUUGAUAUCUAAUGUCAGGUAGUAGAUCCUGGAGGUGACUCUGCGGUCCCGGAGCUCGGGGAGUCAGAGGCGGCAUGCUCGCUGUCAGCCUCCAGCAAACCCCCGAGCGGCACAUACACUGCCUGAAAUAGGAAAGGGCAGACAAUAUAAAAAUGGAGGGAAAAUAUCGGGGAGAUGGGGAACCAAGGCCAUAGUAAGUGGCAGAAAGGCCCACAAAGACCCCCCUGAAUCCAAAAGAUAAGAAAUCAAUGAAAGCAGAAAAUUAGCAAAUCCCCAGACAGACUAAACAUAAAAUACUGAAUAUAAGCAAUUAAAUCCCAAAGCCACCAACUAGAAGCAGGAGGCAGUGGUACUUUGACCUGUACUGAUGUGGAGCAGCAAAAAAAAGAGGAAAUGAUGUAUGGGGAAGGGAGUUUUAUAGUACCUAACUUUUUUCUGAUUGGUUGUUUUUCUCUGUGCUGCUGUGGAGUUCUAGUAAAGAGAGACUUAAGCAAAUAUGAAGCCUCCCGUCAUGUUAUAAAAUUGUAAUGUGUCAGAACCAGCAAUGCAGUAGGUCUGUAAUAAAGAGGACCCAACAGGAUGAUUUGAAAAGAGGGAGUGGGAGGAGGGACAACUCGCCAGACCAACAACGGUAGGGGAGAGAGGAUUGGUGGCCCUUAAAAUGGGAACCAAGCCCCUCCCACAGCUACAGGCCCAGCCUUUAAAUUUAUGUUUGUGGCAUUAUUGCCGUAAUGAAAGAAGUUAAAACAUGAAUAGUUGUAAUACAAUAGUCAAUAACACCAGUCAGUUGUGGUGCGCUGGAACCGACAAAGCAGUAGGCCUGUAAUAAAGAGGGCAAUAAGAAAGUGUACCAUACAAAUACAUUUAUUAAUUUUUACAAUACAACAUUAUUAUUACUUGGACAAAUCAAGAAAUGCUUGACACAUCUCUUGUACCAGUUUAGGUAUAUAUAUUGUGUGACAAACACCCCUUCCCACGUGAGUUUGCCAUGAGCUCCUGGAGGAACCUGCUUGCCAGCCUCCUGCCCAUAGACUAUGGGCCCUGCAGGCAAACCUGUAAAAGACUGUUUAAAUGGCCUGGUGCAAUUUUCCUAUACCGUUCGGUACCGAAACAACCGCACGAACCAGAGAUCACCCUGGAGCUUCUUAAUCCCUAUUAACACUUUGGAACGGUUCUCACCUCAGUGUUCUAAUCGUUCGUAUGGACGCAAUUCAUAUGAACGACCAUGAGGUGGCGGCCAUCUUGUUCGCAAGAACGCAGGCAGCGGUGUUUGGUCGUCGAAUUCAUGGAACUAUUUUCAGACACUGAAACUCCUGAACACCGCUGGACUUCCAUCAUCUCCUGCGUUCGGUUCAGUAGAUCCUAGAAGAACACUGUUCGGUAGAAUCGAGACUACGUUCAUUUUUAUGUUACCAAAGUUGACCGACCGUUUUGGCCAUAGGACCAUGUGUGCGGUCGGUCAGUCAAAUAAUUGACCAUGAAAAAUCUCGAACCUCUGAACCGAUCUGGGUGAUUUUUAGAUAUGUUGGUCACCCAGAUCGGGGCUAUCAGGGGAUGUAACUAUUGUGGGGGUUUUGUGAGUUUGAAAGUACUUUUGGGGUAUUUGUAAAAUUCAGUUUUUCUGUACCUGGAGAUAAUUGAGUUUGUACAGUUCCUGACCCAAUUAUCUCCCAGGCACAGGGGGAGGGAUUAUCCUGUUUUGUGUGGGAGUGUCAUGUGUGUGUUUGACUGUGUCCAUAAAUAUAUAAAAGCAGGCCAUCUGACCAGAUUAAGGCAUUCCAGCUUGUACUCCCAGAACUAUGUGUUGCCUUGUUACUGGGAAGGGAAAGGGAUAAUCACUACUCCAGCUUCCCCGUUGAAUCCUCCACGCUGGAAGAAAGUCCUUGUAAGGACUACAGCUCCCAGGACUGUGUGUCAUCCAGUGCCUGGGAGUGGAUAGAACAAGCCCCCUAUUUAGCUCCAGGACGGAGAGGUUCCAGGACCCCAGUCAAGCUAUGGCGACUGGGGGCAGAAGUGCUGGGUUUUUCCCCUGUUCCAGCAAGGAAGCGGUCCUUUGGUGGAGGUACCCAGCCGGGGUACAUAUUGCAUAAGUGGAUUAUUUCCAGCAUCCCAGAGCUUUGAUUAUAUGUGAUGGAAUAUUAUUGCUGGAUGCAGAUGAUGCUGCUCCUAUAUGAAAUGAGUGACCUGAGUAGCAAGUUGAGUUAAGGCCAAGUCUUGUUAAUAACAUAUGGACAGAGAGCAUAAACUUGGCGGUGGUGAGUAUGGAACCAUGUAAUUCCAAUAAUGGUUGGUGUGGUUGUUUUUGGGCUGUGAUAAAAUAUGUGUCCAUCACUUUUACUGAGCACCGUUUGUUAUGUGUAGGGUAGUAUAGUAUGUCAACCGUAUUCCCCAUCUAGCUAGUUUUGGAGUGAGGAAGUGAAAGAAUGUAGUGAUCUUGUGAUUUGUGGAUACUUUUAAGGUAUCCUGUGGAUGUGAGGUUGAUGGCGGUGAAAUCUCUUGGCUGUAGAAAUCUGCAAAAAUUCAGAGAUAUAGCAGUUUUAACCACCAUAUUAGUGAGAGGUUCAACACUUCAAAACAAUUUACUGUGGAUGGGUAGUCUUUUUGAGAGUUAUAGGUCGAUAGAUUUCUGGAUUCCUUUAAGGUUUUAAUCUGAUAGGACGAUAAGAAUUGUAUUUUAUUUGGGUAUUGUAUCAGCAUGUGAUGUUGAAUGCCCGUUAAGCAGAGUUUAAUGGUGUUGAAAGAUAAUUUUAAAUUGAGGUGGCAAAAGGAGGUGAAACCUAUUAAAGACUCCACAGCAAAUUUAUCUAAAAUUCGGUAAUCUGCUAUGAACUUAUUGAAAAUGUGAAAUGCCCUGUCAUAUAAAUUUCCUGGUGUUAACGGAGAGUGCAAGGUGGGUGAGAUUCUGUGCGUGUGACAACAAAACAUUUAAUCCAUUAACAUGUCUUGGAACGGAGGGGCAGGAGUAGCCAAACAGGAAGCAGUAGAUAGAGUUGUGUGAAAUGCCUGUAAAUGGAAAUGAGACAGGUGAUCAGCAGAGACAAUACCAAGGACAUGGAUUCAAGUGAGGAAAAUUUGGUUAGAAGCCACUACCCAAGUAAGUCUCCUUAAGAACCGCAUAAUGAUCAAAGAUGACUGACCUUUGUUUAUAAUGUGGCAGGUAGCUUGGUUAUCAGAAAAGCAUCUAACAAGUGACCUGCCCAGCAAGUACCCCAAGCAAUUUCUGCUGCCACUAUGGGGUACAAUUUGAAUAGGCCGAUGUCUUGUAGAUACCUGGUAUGAACCUGACCUCUGUAGACUUCUGUGGGCCCAGAGCCACUGAUUGCCACAGAUGGCUGUGAAAUCAGUAUUACCAGCUGCAUUUGUCCAGAGGGUAGGGGAAUUGUCAGAUAUUGGAGGGAUAAACAUGGACUUCCCAUUCCAUGUAGUAAGAAAGGUGUGCCACAUUAGUAAGUCAGAAGCCGCAUGUGGGUCUAGUCUAAUGUGGCUAUUAUCUGAAGGAACAAACUGAGGAGUCAGGAAAUAAAAUAUCUACCUUGUGGGAUGAUCCUCAUGGCAUAAACUGAGCAAACCAAGAAGAGUAAAUCUAUAAAUCUUUGUGAUUGCAAGAACCCAACAGGUACAGGUCAAUAAUUAUCAGGAUGCGCUCAAUCUUGUCAUGAGGAAAACAGGACUGCAUAGAAACAGACUCUAAUUGAAUACUCCUUUAGAACCACUAAAAUAUCCCCAUAUGCACAGAUUCUAUUCUUAAUAGCAUCCUUUGAGGCAAUUAGGAACGAGAGACGAUAGAAGCAUAGAAUGUGACAGCAAAUAAGAACCAUUCGACCCAUCCAUUCUGCCCAAUUUUUGAAAUACUUUCAUUAGUCCCUGGCCUUAUCUUAAGUCUAGGAUAGCCUUAUGCCUAUCUCACGCAUGCUUGAGCUCCCUCACUGCAGCUGGAAGGCUACUCCAUGCGUCCACUACUCUCUAUGUAAAGUAAUACUUUCUGAUGUUAUUUUUAAACCUUUGUCCCUCUAAUUUAAGACUAUGCCCUCUUGUUGUGGUAGUUUUUCUUCUUUUAAAUAUAGUCUCCUCCUUUACUCUGUUGGUUCCCAUUAUGUAUUUAUAUGAUUCUAUCACAUCCCCCUGUCUUGUCUUUCCUCCAGACUAUACAUGUACAAUUAUUUAACAUUUCCUGGUAAUUUUUAUCCUGCAAUCCAUGAACCAGUUUAGUAGCCCUUCUCUGAACUCUUUCCAAAGUAUCAAUAUCCUUCUGAAGAUACGGUCUCCAGUACUGUGUACAAUACUCCAAGUGAGGUCUCAUGUACAAUUCUCUCUUUCUAUUGCUAAUGCCUCUCCCUAUACAACCAAGCAUUCUGCUAGCAUUUCCUGCUGCUCUAUUACAUUGUCUGCCUACCUUUAAGUCGUCUGAAAUAAUUACUCCUAAAUCAAUAAGAUUAGUUUGGUAUGAUCUCCCUGAAGUAAACCCAUGUCUCUGAUUUUGAAAUCCAUGUGAUUUUAGAUGUUUAACAAUCCUAUCCUUUAUCAUGGUUCCAUCACUUUCCCCACUACUAAAGUAAGACUUACUGGCCUAUAAUUGCCAGAAUCCUUUCUUCUACCUGUCUUGUGAAUGGGUACAACAUUUUCUAAUUUCCAGUCUUCUGGGACUAUCCUGUUAACAAUGAUUGCUUAAAUAAAUUGGUAAAUGACUAGUACACCACUAAUUUAUUGUAAUAACUUUGGGUGUGUCCCAUCAGGCCCCAUCGACUUAUUUGUCUUUACUUUUGACAGUUGAAAUAGAACCUCUUCCUCUGUAAACUCACAUGUUACAAAUGACUCAUUUGCCCUUUUUCUUAAAGGACCACUAUAGGCACACAGACCACUUCAGCUUAAUGAAGUGGUCUGGGUGCCUGGUCCAGCUAGGGUUAACCCUUUUUUCUAUAAACAUAGCAGUUUCAGAGAAACUGCUAUGUUUAUAAAUGGGUUAAUCCAGCCUCUAGUGGCUGUCUCAUUGACAGCCGCUAGAGGGCUUCAGCGCUUCUCACUGUGAUUUUCACAGUGAGAAGACGCCAGCGUCCAUAGGAAAGCAUUGUGAAUGCUUUCCUAUGGACUGGCUGAAUGUGCGCGCAGCUCCUGUUGCGCAUGCGCAUUCAGACGAAGAGGAGGAGAGGAGGCGGAGAGCUCCCCGCUCGGGGCUGGAGAAAGAGGUAAGUUUAACCCCUUCCUUCCCCCUCAGCGCCACUAAAUUAGGGCAUGAUCUCAUGCUGUGAAAUUAGCCUCAUGGUGAUGUGUGAAUUAUCCUGACAAAUAUUCAAAUAUGUGUGCCCAGAAUACACGUGUGCAUAGUCACCAAAAUGACACAUGGUUGACCUCAUCAAAUCUACGACAAACAGAUACACUUGAAUAUAAGGAUGUGUUAUGGCAGUAUUGUGUAUCAGAAACCUUGCCAGAAGGAUGCAGGUAUGUAGAUGUGUUCCACACAGGAAUCUUUACAGCAACAAAUAUUUCCUUAUACUUAUGCAGCAAAAAUCAAUGACAAAUUUUGUCUGAGUACACAAGUUAUACCUCCUUUUCUAUAUUACAGAUGGUCCCGAAAACACAUUCCUUAUCAUGAAGUUACAAUUAAAUGCUGGUUCUGUGAUUAAUUUAGAAUGUGGCUUUAAUACAUCGUUCACCUACCAGUGGACAUUCAAUGGAACACAAUUAAAUACAAACCAGAGAAUGCUGUCUGUUGAAAAGAUCAAACCACAACACCAAGGACUUUAUAUUUGUGUGGUCUAUAAACCAGACAAGACAAAUUAUACAGCUAUUACAUUAUAUGUGAUGGUUAAUGGUAAGUACUGAGAAAUGCAUCCAACAUUUAGCACCCAACCUAUACCUUCAGCAUACAAAUGGCCAUUUGAUUAUUUGAAAUAAAAAGCCAGCACACAUAAAUCAUAUCUCCAUAUAUCUAGGAUUUAUCAUUUGAAAAAUCUUAAGCAUAUGCAGUAGUAAGAGAGGCACAUAUAUAUUUAAACUAAAAUCAUCUAAAAAGUGUUACCAUAUCAAUAAAACUUUAACAAAGAUCCAUCCAAGACUAUUUGUGCAGUAUAUAAAAAUAUAUAUUUGUGCAAUUCAAUGGUGAUUAAUGUGGUUUUUAAAAAGCACUACAUUAUAAGCAUGCAAUGAAACCGGUUAGAAAAAAGCACUCUGUAUCUUGUGCCCUAUGCCUAUAGUGAUUUCAGAAUUACGUAAAAGUGGAACAUAGACAUAUAAAAUUGUAAAAACCAAACCUAAAUAUUCUGAUAUGUAUUAAACAGAAGCCACACGUGUUUAUGUGCACACCAAUAUGACAAAUUUAUAUUGAAUCUCUGUUCAGCAAUCACUACAUUUAUACAAUAAGCAUAAAAAUAAGAGAAAGCAUCUAUUAACACUAUGAUAUGUCAUACAGGAACAAUCCAAGGACCAUAAACACUACAGCUCACUGUAGUGGUUGUGGUGCCCAGUCCCGACCCACUUCCUUAUUUUAAGUAGGCAAACCAAUUUUUAAUGGUUUGACUUAUUACCUUUGAUCUGCUGGGUACCGCUCCCUUCCUACACUAUAAAUGCAGGUUAGCCGGAUGUUCCUCAGCAGUAACUGUCUACAAUGGGGGGCAAUAGGGCAUUACUGGAACCAUAAACACUGCAGUGAGCUUUAGUGAUUAUGGUUCUUGGGUGCUUGAUUUGACAGUUUUUUUUUAUUUUGUUUUACUUUUCUAACUAACUCUGAUAUCUCUAAAGGUAUAUGGCAAAAGACACAGAAGGUGAUAUUUAUCUAAGUAUUCUAAAAAGUUUUUAUUAGUAUUGUAUUUGUUCUAAAAAUUUAUCAAAAAGUAUUUUGCAGAAACACUCAUUUUGGAAAAGGGGCCAAAAUUUACAGUAACAGAAAGAAGUUAAAUAGGACACUUUUCUGACAAUGAAGGAAUGAAUGAUAAAUCUGUUCCAUUGCUAAAAAAAUGUUAAAAAAAAGCAUUGUUUGUUAAAAAAUGAUAGAAGUGAAAAAAAAAACACAACAUGGAAAAAAAAAAGACAGAUAAACUGGAUUGGCAACUGCAACUGCACACAAAAAUUGCCAAAUAAAUGCUAGAAAGGUACAAAACUUUGAUAGCUCUCCCAUAGUGUUUUUUUUUUCUAAUGGUUUUGAUGUAUGCAUAUAAUAUAGAUCCUUAAUGAAGCAGCAUUACUUUCUAGUGAAUUGCACUAAAAUUGUUUUUUUUUUUUGUUUUUUUUUAUAUUCCAUUUUCCUUAACUGCACAUGUGGUUCUUUUAUUUACAUAUUAAUACAUUUUAGAUGUUUUUAGUCUACAUGUGUAUGUGCCUCCCUUACGAUUGCAUAUAAUUACACUCUGUAUUCUACCAGGUUUCAAUUUCAGAGAUUGACAGCUGGUUAUAGCAUGAUACAUUCACAUUAUAUUAACUAUGAAAUCUAUUAAUUUAGUGUGUAGUGCCGUCGUUGAUUUGGUUUUAAGAAAAUAAAAAAAAAACACAUGUCUCACUUACAUUACUAACUAAAUUAGCCAGUAAGGAAAUUCAGCUUAACAAAAAACAGUGUAAGGGAAAGAAUCGGUAAAAGUAAAACAGAAAUGAAAACAAUGUUCUCAUAUAAUCCACAGAAACAAUACUAAAUUCACAACAUAAACUUGAGUCUAUCAGUUAUGUAUAGAUACUGUAUCCACUACAACACUGACUCAUUAUCACUAUAUUAAAGGAGCACUAUAGUCACCAAAGCAACUUUAGCUUAAUAAAGCGGUUUGUGUGCAGAUCAUUCUCCUGCAAUCUCACUGUUUAAUUCUCUGCCAUGCAGGAGCUAAAUCACUUUGUUUAUGCAGCCUUAGUAACACCUCCCUGCAAACAAUUGCAAAGCAUUCCUUAACACUUCCUGUAGAGUGAGAUCUAAUGUUUACACUUCCUUUAUUGCACAGUUUUAUUUUAUAAUUCCCUAUCUCCUGCACUGUUAAUAGCUCGCUAGAUCUUGCAUGAGCCUCCUGGUUGUGAUUGAAGUUCAAUUUACAGAGAAGGAGAUUAAAACUUUUAAAGUAAGUUAACAUUGGAUUGAAAAUAAAAACAUAUUUUUUUUCAUGCAGGCUGUCAUUCACAACCAGGGGAGGUGUGGCUAGGGCUGCAUGAACAGAAACAAAUAUUUUAUUUUACCCCUUGAGAAUUUAUUGAGCAGUGAGACUUCAGAGGCAUGAUCUAUACACCAAAAACUGCUUCAACAAGCUAAAAUUGUUUUUUGCGACUAUAGUGCCCCUAUAAUAUUAAGCAGUUCUUGUAAAAUCUGUCUUCUCAAUUAGCAUUAGCAGCUCAGCUGUGUCAAAACAUCAGUAUGAGAAUAUCUUAAAUACAAAUAAAGGAACCCAUAGUGUAUUACCACAAAUGUAAAUAAUAUUAAAACCCUUACACAGUGGUGUUGUGAGUCUUAUGACUAAGGCUCACAAAGCAAGCUUAUGUACAUCCCAUACACAACAGUGCACUCAGACAGUUACCCGUCCUCUGUCUGCUAGACCGUUUACCCUUACAGUGUUUGUUAUUAAGCCAAAUUUCCUUAUUGGCUAAUUUAGUCAGUUUUAUGAGUGAAAAUUUAGUUUUUGUUUAUGCAAUGUCACUGUCUUACUGUAUUUAUUUUGAUUAUUCACUGAAAUGAAAGCGUUUAAUAUUACAGCUGCACAUAUAAUUAUAGUAAUAGUAAUAUAACUAUUUUAAAUUAUUUUUUGCUCUUCGUAUUAUUUGUGUUGUGUUGUGAACAAACAUUUAGGGAUAUUGAAAAAAACAGGCUAUACAAGAUACUGCAAUUCUUCAGAACUGUAUGUAAUAUCAACAUAUUUAUAGGGACAAAAUCUACAUAUUACCCAAGUGUCCCUAUUUAGAUGGGGCAGUUCCUAUUUUGGCGCAAGUCACUCUGUCCCUCCUUUCUCUCGUAAUGCCCCUCUUUUCUAUGAGCUCCAUAUUGUUGGCGUGUCUGAGUGUAUAACAGAGCUCUACAGCAAUAAUACUCCGAGUAAUGUGUCUUUAAACUAAAGUAAAUGUGUCUAGAAAUUAGUCUGUGUAAAUAAGAUAUAUUGUUCUUGUUAUAAAUCACAUUUUAGCUGCAUAAAAUUGUUAGUAUUAAGUCACAUACAUUUCUCAGAACAUCUCCACCACUACCCACACUUCUAAAAUUAAAAUACCCAUUUUUGUCCAAAUGUUGGAAAGUAUGGUAGCAUGACAGGGUCUGAAUAAAUGGCAGAAUAUGGAAAUAGCAGCUGUGUCUGGAUGGCAUGAACCCCACCAGUUUAUGGCACUUCAAUGUGUGUGUCCCACUGUAAACCACUAAGCCAUUUACUGCAUAUCUACUGGCAUUGCUGUUAUGCUUUCCUUUGGACAGUUUUGCACUUCUUUGACAUUGCUGCUUAGUUAUGUUAACUCAUGAAAUAUACUUUGGCAUAAAGUAUAGUACUGACAUUAUUUUUUUGUGGAGCUAAUUAUUUAACUCAACUAUAUAUAUAUACUGAAUGGGAUAUUUCACCUUUAAACCCUACAAACACAAACUUAUAAAUUGCUACCCACAAUUCCAACACUACUUUGCAAAUAUAAUUUCUCCCUAAUAAUUUGAUUUUAUUAAUCACAGACAAAUGCAUAUUAACAUGUAUCUCUGUGAAAUUACUAAGCUCUAUUUUUUAACAAAACAAAAAAAUCUAAUAACAAUCUGGAUAAACUUGAUUUUUCUUGAUGGUAACUUGUAAAUAUUCUGAGAAGGAUGGACAUGUUAAAAGGGAAUGGUUUUUGUGAAGAACAUAGGUAUGGAAUCAAGGCCAGCAAAAUACUUAAAUAUCUAAUUAAUGGGGCUCAGAGAGCUAAAAUGGAAUAUAUUACAGCACUAUGUCUCAAUACCGAUAUAAUAUGGUGUUUUAGAAACUGGUGGAUCCUGUGGUGGAUAUAUAGCUGGAAUCAUUUGUGGGUCCAUCCUUGGAGCAAUGCUGAUCAUCAG